rnacentral:rRNA from 1 species
AUAGUUAGUGGCGAAAGGGUUAGUAAUGGCUAGGUAACGUACCCCGUGCUCCGGGAUAGCUAUUCGAAAGGAUAGGUAAUACCGGAUAACAUCGUGAAUCGAUAGGUUUACGAUCAAAGAUUUAUCGGCGUGGGAGCGGCCUAGUUCCUAUCAGCUUGUUGGUGAGGUAACGGCUCACCAAGGCAUCGACGGGUAGCGGGACUGAGAGGUUGGCCCGCAACAUCGGAACUGAGACACUGUCCGGACCUCCACGGAGGGCUGCAGUAACGAAUAUCGCGCAAUGGGCGAAAGCCUGACGCAGCGACGCCGCGUGUAGGAGGAAGUCCCUCGGGAUGUAAACUACUUUUCGGGUUACGAAAGUCUUCGGAUUGAUCUACCCCGGAAUAAGUCACGGCUAACUUCGUGCCAGCAGCCGCGGUAAGACGAAGGUGGCGAGCGUUGUUCGGUAUUACUGGGCUUAAAGCGUGUGUAGGCGGAAAUGUAAGCAUCUUGUGAAAUCCCUCGGCUCAACCGAGGAAUUGCUUGGCGAACUACAUUUCUUGAGGCAAGUAGGGGUACACGGAACUCUUGGUGGAGCGGUGGAAUGCGUAGAUAUCAAGAGGAACGCCGGUGGAGAAGUCGGUGUACUGGGCUUGUCCUGACGCUGAGACACGAAAGCGUGGGGAGCAAACAGGAUUAGAUACCCUGGUAGUCCACGCUGUAAACGAUGUCAACUAGGUCGUGCGGGUUCUGACGCCGGCACGGCCGAAGCAAAAGUGUUAAGUUGACCGCCUGGGGAGUACGGUCGCAAGGCUAAAACUCAAAGGAAUUGACGGGGGCUCACACAAGCGGUGGAGCAUGUGGAUUAAUUCGAAUCAACGCGCAGAACCUUACCUGGGUUUGACAUGCUUGGAUGCUCUUUGGGAAACCAGAGUAGGCUGCCCUUCGGGGUGAAACUUGCACAGGUGCUGCAUGGCUGUCGUCAGCUCGUGUCGUGAGAUGUUGGGUUAAGUCCUUUAACGAGCGAAACCCUUGCCGCUAGUUGCCAGCGAGUCAUGUCGGGGACUCUAGCGGGACUGCCGGUGUUAAACCGGAGGAAGGUGGGGAUGACGUCAAGUCCUCAUGGCCUUUAUGCCCAGGGCUUCACACGUGCUACAAUGGUUCGGACAGAGCGACGCAAGACCGCGAGGUGGAGCAAAUCGCAAAAACCGAGCCUCAGUUCGGAUUGCAGGCUGGCAACUCGCCUGCAUGAAGGUGGAAUCGCUAGUAAUCGCGUGUCAGCUAUAACGCGGUAAAUGUGUUCCUGAGCCUUGUACACACCGCCCGUCAAGUGAUGGGAGUUGGGAGUACCCGAAGUCGGAUUGCUAACCAGCAAUGGAGGCGUCUGCCGACGGUAAGCCCGAUGACUGGCACUAAGUCGGGACAAGGUA